AAAAAAAAAAAUCUAGAUCUGCCACUGCCAAGACCCAUGCACCUUUACAUAACACAAGGCUACAUAGUCUUAACAGAUAAAGAUAAAGCCUUAGACCAUAUAAUGCAUAGGCAGUAAGACAAUAACUAAUAAAUUAUAUUUUUCCAGCAACAUUUUUGAUAAUUUUUUUUGAAAAAUCAGUUUCAACUUUAAAGAAUGUCUUUUCAAUUUGUGUAAGUCAUAUACCAUUUGCAAUCCAAUAUGCAUACAUAAAAGGUGAAGAAAAAUCAUUUGAAACACUCAAUUCAAUAUGGUUUACAUUUUCCAAAGCAGAAGAAUCAUAAUGUCAGUUAUAAGAGAAAACAUUUAUGCUAGCAGAACUCAUAUUUCUGAGUUAAUUGAAUUUUGGAAGGGAGACAAUAUACUAGAAAGCAAUAGAAGUUUGGCACAUUAAAUCAACUUCAAGCAAUUCCACAAAACG
rnacentral:misc_RNA from 1 species